rnacentral:tRNA from 1 species
CGUCGGCGCCGGCGGGCGGUGCUGCGGGCGGUGCUGCAAGUUCGGCGGCGGGUGGCGACACGCGCACGGUCGGUCGCGGCGACUCGCUAUCGUC